rnacentral:rRNA from 1 species
UACGGAGGAUGCGAGCGUUAUCCGGAUUUAUUGGGUUUAAAGGGUGCGCAGGCGGUUCUGCAAGCCCGGGGUGAAAAAGGUGUGCUCAACGUACGCCGUGCCCCGGGAACUGCCGGACUGGAAUGCUCCCGUCGCGGGAGGAAUGGGUAGUGUAGCGGUGAAAUGCAUAGAUAUUACCCAGAACACCGAUUGCGAAGGCAUCUCGCGAGGGGGUGAUUGACGCUGAGGCACGAAGGCGUGGGGAUCGAAC